rnacentral:rRNA from 1 species
CCUACGGGAGGCAGCAGUAGGGAAUCUUUCACAAUGGGCGAAAGCCUGAUGGAGCAACGCCGCGUGCAGGAUGAAGGCCUUCGGGUUGUAAACUGCUUUUAUAAGCGAGAAAUAUGAUGGUAACUUAUGAAUAAGGAUCGGCUAACUACGUGCCAGCAGCCGCGGUCAUACGUAGGAUCCGAGCAUUAUCCGGGGUGACUGGGUGUAAAGAGUGGCGUGGGAGGCAUAGUAAGUAGUGAGGGAAAUCUGGUGGCUCAACCAUUCGAACUAUUAGCUAAACUGCUAAGCUCGAGACCGUUAGGGGUAACUGGAAUUUCUAGUGUAGGAGUGAAAUCCGUAGAUAGUAGAAGGAACACCGAUAGCGUAGGCAGGUUACUGGGACGGUUCUGACACUAAGGCACGAAAGCGUAGGGAGCAAACGGGAUUAGAUACCCCUGUAGUC